UUGGAAGAAGUCCAUACUGCAUGCCCCAGAGCUUCAGCUUACCAGGAAGCAGUGUCCUAUCAAUAUUCUCCAGCCCACUGGCUAUGUCCUUCCUGAGCUGCUCUAUUUGUUCUUUAUCUUUGAGGGAGGCAUCAUACGAGCGCCCUAGGCUCUUCACAGGCUUCUCAGAGACCAUUGGAAUGGGUUCCUCUCCAAUGUGGAAGUGGCGGUCUGACAACUUCCCCUUGAUGAUCGAGAUGCUUCUGGACUUGCUCGGCUUGAUUUUCAUGAAUCCCCCAAAUUGCUGUUCUCACCAAAAUCGAUGAAGCCUGUCCUGAAGUCAACAAAGACCUGAAGAAUGUCUACAGGAGCAAGCACAUCAAAAAGCAGAUGGAAUCAGUGAGUAAAAUGGUGGGAAUUCCAAUGA